AUUGAACGCUGGCGGCAGGCCUAACACAUGCAAGUCGAGCGAGCGGCGGACGGGUGAGUAAUGUAUGGGGAUCUGCCCGAUAGAGGGGGAUAACUACUGGAAACGGUGGCUAAUACCGCAUACUAUCGGAUGAACCCAUAUGGGAUUAGCUAGUUGGUGGGGUAACGGCUCACCUAGGCGACGAUCUCUAGCUGGUCUGAGAGGAGGACCAGCCACACGGGGACUGAGACACGGCCCAGACGCCGACGGGAGGCAGCAGUGGGGAAUAGUGCACAAUGGGCGAAAGCCUGAUGCAGCCAUGCCGCGUGUAUGAAGAAGGCCUUAGGGUUGUAAAGUACUUUCAGCGGGGAGGCGUUACCCGCAGAAGAAGCACCGGCUAACUCCGUGCCAGCAGCCGCGGUAAUAC
rnacentral:rRNA from 1 species